GUUGCCGUGGCCGAGGGGUUAAGGCGUUGGACUGGAAAUCCAAUGGGAUCUUCCCGCGCAGGCUCGAAUCCUGCCCGCAAUG
rfam:Nematostella vectensis strain CH2 x CH6 NEMVEscaffold_486_Cont28486, whole genome shotgun sequence.